UACGUAGGGUGCGAGCGUUGUCCGGAAUUAUUGGGCGUAAAGGGCUCGUAGGCGGUCUGUCACGUCGGGGAGUGAAAACACGGGGCUUAACCCCGUGCCUGCUUCCGAUACGGGCAGACUAGAGUGCUGUAGGGGAGACUGGAAUUCCUGGUGUAGCGGUGAAAUGCGCAGAUAUCAGGAGGAACACCGGUGGCGAAGGCGGGUCUCUGGGCAGUAACUGACGCUGAGGAGCGAAAGCGUGGGGAGCAAACAGG
rnacentral:rRNA from 1 species